rnacentral:tRNA from 1 species
UGGGAUGUAGAUCAGUGGUAGAGCCAUUGCCUGGGAUGCAUUAGGCCCUGGGUUCAGUUCCCAGUACUACAC